UCCGGUUUGUCACCGGCAGUCUGGCGUGAGUCCCCAACUUAAUGCUGGCAACACGCCACGGGGGUUGCGCUCGUUGCGGGACUUAACCCAACAUCUCACGUCACGAGCUGACGACAGCCAUGCAGCAUCUGUGGUGCACCCUCGAAGGUCACACGUAUUCGGCGUCUCUGCCGGCUUUCCCGCGCAUGUCAAGCCUAGGUAAGGUUCUUCGCGUUGCGUCGAAUUAAACCACAUGCUCCACCGCUUGUGCGGGCCCCCGUCAAUUCUUUUGAGUUUUAGCCUUGCGGCCGUACUCCCCAGGCGGAACACUUAUCGCGUUGGCUUCGGCACAGACAGAUUCGACUCCGCCCACACCUAGUGUUCAUCGUUUACGGCGUGGACUAC
rnacentral:misc_RNA from 1 species